rfam:Bacteroidetes bacterium HLTCCA01 ITZX_scaf_94, whole genome shotgun sequence.
GCCGCUAUAGCUCAGGGGUAGAGCACUUCCAUGGUAAGGAAGGGGUCCUCGGUUCAAAUCCGAGUAGCGGCU